UACAGAGACUGCGAGCGUUAUUCGGAUUCACUGGGCGUAAAGGGUGCGCAGGCGGCCGUGUGUGUGAGGCGUGAAAGCCCGGGGCUUAACCCCGGAAUUGCACCUCAAACUACACGGCUAGAGCAUUGGAGAGGGUAGCGGAAUUCACGGUGUAGCAGUGAAAUGCGUAGAUAUCGUGAGGAACACCAGAGGCGAAGGCGGCUACCUGGACAAUUGCUGACGCUCAGGCACGAAAGCGUGGGGAGCAAAAAGG
rnacentral:rRNA from 1 species